AUGUAUUUAACAAUAUUAUAAACCGAUAGCUGAAAUCCAAAUAUUGUGCGCUUAGAUAGCCUUUCAGGGUCACAAUAUCACUAGAAUAGAAUCUUUGACCUAUACAGUAUAACUAAAUUUUGACAAUACUUCAAAAUUUUUAGGCAGUUUACUUUAUGGAUUCGUGGUUGUUAUAUGUAUCUAGUAUGAUUUUAAAAUAUAGAUCAUUUACUAAAGCAUAUUUGAUAAUGUAAACUCUAUUUCAAGCAAUUUGGUUUCCACUUUCUGUUUCCCUCAACAGUCUAAGACAGAAGAAAACUGCAGAAGAUUGCUACCCAUUCAAGUAGAAAAACUCAAGCUGGAAAAUUAACAGCACAGCUGGAAAGGCUAAUGAACUUAGCAUUUAAAAAUGCUUGUAGAGCUGCCAGAUCUACCCCUUGAUCCCAGAGGAAUAAGAAGACCAGCCUGGAAACAGAGAGAGACCCUGUAUCUAAGAAAAAAAAAAAAAAAAAAAAAAACAACUAUUAGCCAGGCAUGGUGAUGCAUGCCUGCAGUCUCAGCUACUCUGGAGGCUGAGGAGGGAGGAUUGCUUAAGCCCAGGAAUUCAAGGCUGCAGUAAACCGUGAUCUCACCACUGCAUUUAAGCCUGGGCAACAGAGUAAGACCUUGCCUUUUAAAAAAGGGAUGUGAAAACAUUAUUAAUAUUUACUUACCUUAGCAAGGUUUUCUAUCCUAAUGCAGAAAUCAAUAUUAUGUUAACCUCUCUUCAAUUACAAAAGAACUAUUAAAUAAGCCAAAAUUUUCUGAAAGUCAAUCUCCAUUUAGUAGUUUUCUUAAAGAAUUGAUUAAUGGCCAAUAUAAUAAAAUAUUUUUCUUUGGGCUGGAAAAAUUCUGUUAAACCAUUCAAUUUCAUGCCAAUAAAGCAGUGUUUAGACAAAUGUUAUAAUUGAACUGGAUAAGUAUUAAUUCGAUUCAGAUUUGCUAGGACCAGCCAAGCAACCAGUAUUUGCUAGUCUGUUGCAAUAAAACCUGAGCAUUAAGUUUUCUGUUCAUGUUGUCACCAGGUUAUAUCCUCAGAGAUCUGUCCUUGGACAAUUAAAUAAAAGCCAUUUAGCAAUUAGUCCAUGAAGGUGUUAAAAUUGUCUUAUAGUUCACUAGUUAUACUUUGAUGUUGCCAACUUCUAUUAAAUAGAUCAAGGUUGAGGCAGUAGGGAAGGAAGAAUGUUUUAAUGGAGACUUUAUUGCAACUGAGAAUUACAAAAGAUGAAGAAAAGUUUAAGCUUAUUUAAUAAUGGUAAUAACAUAAAGUCUGAUAUUUAAAUGUCUUU
rnacentral:lncRNA from 1 species